UACGAAGGGGGCUAGCGUUGCUCGGAAUCACUGGGCGUAAAGCGCACGUAGGCGGAUCCUUAAGUCGGGGGUGAAAUCCUGGAGCUCAACUCCAGAACUGCCUUUGAUACUGAAGAUCUUGAGUCCGGGAGAGGUGAGUGGAACUGCGAGUGUAGAGGUGAAAUUCGUAGAUAUUCGCAAGAACACCAGUGGCGAAGGCGGCUCACUGGCCCGGUACUGACGCUGAGGCACGAAAGCGUGGGGAGCAAACAGG
rnacentral:rRNA from 1 species